UACGUAGGGCGCAAGCGUUAUCCGGAAUUAUUGGGCGUAAAGAGCUCGUAGGCGGUUUGUCGCGUCUGCUGUGAAAACCCGAGGCUCAACCUCGGGCCUGCAGUGGGUACGGGCAGACUAGAGUGCGGUAGGGGAGAUUGGAAUUCCUGGUGUAGCGGUGGAAUGCGCAGAUAUCAGGAGGAACACCGAUGGCGAAGGCAGGUCUCUGGGCAUUAACUGACGCUGAGGAGCGAAAGCAUGGGGAGCGAACAGG
rnacentral:rRNA from 1 species